UGAACGCUGGCGGCGUGCCUAAUACAUGCAAGUCGAGCGAACAGAUAAGGAGCUUGCUCCUUUGACGUUAGCGGCGGACGGGUGAGUAACACGUGGGUAACCUACCUAUAAGACUGGGAUAACUUCGGGAAACCGGAGCUAAUACCGGAUAACAUUUGGAACCGCAUGGUUCUAAAGUGAAAGAUGGUUUUGCUAUCACUUAUAGAUGGACCCGCGCCGUAUUAGCUAGUUGGUAAGGUAACGGCUUACCAAGGCGACGAUACGUAGCCGACCUGAGAGGGUGAUCGGCCACACUGGAACUGAGACACGGUCCAGACUCCUACGGGAGGCAGCAGUAGGGAAUCUUCCGCAAUAGGCGAAAGCCUGACGGAGCAACGCCGCGUGAGUGAUGAAGGGUUUCGGCUCGUAAAACUCUGUUAUUAGGGAAGAACAAAUGUGUAAGUAACUGUGCACGUCUUGACGGUACCUAAUCAGAAAGCCACGGCUAACUACGUG
rnacentral:rRNA from 1 species